UGGCCUUAUUAAAUCCAACUGAAUGCCUAUUAGUAUGGACAUUGAAAGACACAGAGUCUGGAUUAAAGUGAGAAGGAGACUGGACUUGUCUUUGCUUCUUAUCAUUGAGGACCAUAUUAUAGACACUGUCAAGGGUUGGAGGUGGCUGCAUCAUCAAAAGGUUACUCCUUACCCCCAUGUAUGCUUCAUUAAGGCGCAUUAGAAACUGAAAUACCUUAUUUUCAUCAUUUUCCUGUAUUAUACCAUCUUUGGCAGCACAACACAUCUUUGUCCAUGAUUGGCACACAUUGAUUCUAAUUCAUCCCACAUACCUUUCCGUUUAUUAAAAUAUGAAGCUACAUCUAGG
rnacentral:lncRNA from 1 species